GAUGAACGCUAGCGGCAGGCCUAAUACAUGCAAGUCGAACGGUGUCUUCGGACAUAGUGGCGCACGGGUGCGUAACACGUAUGCAACCUACCUUACAUUGGGGGAUAGCCUUUCGAAAGGGAGAUUAAUACCGCAUAAGACAGUAGCUGGGCAUCCAGCAGCUGUUAAAGAUUUAUCGAUGUAAGCUGGGCAUGCGUCCAAUUAGCUAGUUGGUGAGGUAACGGCUCACCAAGGCGAUGAUUGGUAGGGGAACUGAGAGGUCAAUCCCCCACACUGGCACUGAGAUACGGGCCAGACUCCUACGGGAGGCAGCAGUAGGGAAUGUUGGGCAAUGGACGCAAGUCUGACCCAGCCAUGCCGCGUGCAGGAUGAAGGCGUUAUGCGUUGUAAACUGCUUUUAUACAGGAAGAAACGACUCUUGCGAGAGGCAUUGACGGUACUGUAUGAAUAAGCACCGGCUAACUCCGUGCCAGCAGCCGCUGUAACAC
rnacentral:rRNA from 1 species